rnacentral:lncRNA from 1 species
GUUGUUGGUGAUGGUCACACUAUACACAUUCUAAAUGAUAACUGGAUCCCGGGGGUGAAAAAUCUAAGCAGAGACUUGGGAAAUGAUUUACAACAUCACAAUCAAGAACUUGAAAGUCCAGUGGCUUUAUUAAUUGAUCUGAACUUGAAGUGGUGGAACCUGACUAAGCUUAGGGCUCUAUUCAAUCCAAAAAUUGUGGAGGCAAUACUAAAACUACACCAAGCCCUUCGGGAGAAAAAGAUUUUUGGUUAUGGGAACAUGAAAAAAUUGGACUUUAUUCUGUUAGCAGUGCAUAUAGAUUCUUCAAGGAUUGUCUAACUUUGGACCGUGGCAACUCUUCAAACGCAACUGAGAAAAAGAAAUUUCGGGAUACUAUAUGGCGUCUAAAGAUACACCAAAAAGUAAAAAAAUUUACUUGGAGAGCUUGUAAAGAAAGCUUGCCCUCGAAACAAAAUCUGAUUUGAAGAUGAAUCCCUAUUGCCACUCAAUGUUGUUUUUGCGACUACCAGGUAGAAGACCUAUGCCAUGUUUUACUCAAUUGCCCUUCUACUUGCCAUCUCCUAACCAGACGGUUCCCAGCACUACAGAAUAAGGAUCAUCUGGGAGAUUUCAUGCAAGUAGCUAUGGAUAUAAUGGCAAAAGACUCAAAGGAUGCUUUCUUGAAAUUUAUACUCAUCACUUGGGGUUUUUGGUUCCGCCGAAACAAAAUGGUCCAUGUCCAGCUAAACCUUCCACCAUAACAAGUAAUUGCUACCGCCUUAGCCAAAAAAUCCAAUGCUAAAUUAGGUCCACCCCUCAACAGUACACCUAGAUCGCUUUCCCACAAAUAUAGGUGGUCCGCACCACCCAAAAAAGCAUUGAAACUCAAUAUUGAUGGUGCACUAUUCUUUGACUCAAAUAAGUCUGGGAUCAGAAUUAUUUUAUG